rnacentral:rRNA from 1 species
GGGGGAAUCUUAGACAAUGGGCGCAAGCCUGAUCUAGCCAUGCCGCGUGAGUGAUGAAGGCCUUAGGGUCGUAAAGCUCUUUCGCCUGUGAAGAUAAUGACGGUAGCAGGUAAAGAAGUCCCGGCUAACUCCGUGCCAGCAGCCGCGGUAAUACGGAGGGGACUAGCGUUGUUCGGAAUUACUGGGCAUAAAGCGCGCGUAGGCGGACUAGUCAGUCAGAGGCGAAAUCCCAGGGCUCAACCCUGGAACUGCCUUUGAUACUGCUAGUCUUGAGUUCGAGAGAGGUGAGUGGAAUUCCGAGUGUAGAGGUGAAAUUCGUAGAUAUUCGGAAGAACACCAGUGGCGAAGGCGGCUCACUGGCUCGAUACUGACGCUGAGGUGCGAAAGUGUGGGGAGCAAACAGGAUUAGAUACCCUGGUAGUCCACACCGCAAACGAUGAAUGCCAGACGUCGGGCAGCAUGCUGUUCGGUGUCACACCUAACGGAUUAAGCAUUCCGCCUGGGGAGUACGGUCGCAAGAUUA